rnacentral:misc_RNA from 1 species
GUAUAUUUUCACUUUUUUAUCAACAUUCUAAACAAUGAGGUUGUGUAAAAUGACAUAGACCCUGAAAGGGCAAAGCCGGCCUUUUGAAGAAGCAAAAAGCAACAGCAGUCCCGACUCGAAUGAGAGGCUCAUUCAUUCCAGGGAUCUACAAAAUGUGCACAGUUGGAAGAAAUAAUAAAUAUGAGACAAGCGUGCACACACGAGGCAGCAACAGCCUGUUCAAGUUUAUACGAUAAUGAUCCUUCCGCAGGUUCACCUACGGAAA